rnacentral:rRNA from 1 species
GUGAGGAAUUUUCCGCAAUGGGCGAAAGCCUGACGGAGCAAUGCCGCGUGAAGGAUGAAGGCCUAUGGGUUGUAAACUUCUUUUCUCAGAAAAGAAUUAUGACGGUAUCUGAGGAAUAAGCAUCGGCUAACUCUGUGCCAGCAGCCGCGGUAAGACAGAGGAUGCAAGCGUUAUCCGGAAUGAUUGGGCGUAAAGCGUCUGUAGGUUGUUUAAAAAGUAUUCUGUCAAAGAUUAGGGCUUAACCCUAGAUAGGCAGAAUAAACUUUUAAGCUAGAGUUUGGUAGAGGAAGAGGGAAUUCCCGGGGGAGCGGUGAAAUGCGUAGAUAUCGGGAGGAACACCAAAGGCGAAAGCACUCUUCUGGGCCAAUACUAACACUGAGAGACGAAAGCGAGGGGAGCAAAUGGGAUUAGAUACCCUGGUAGUCC